rnacentral:tRNA from 1 species
UGGAGUGGUAGUUCAGUUGGUUAGAAUACCUGCCUGUCACGCAGGGGGUCGCGGGUCGAGUCCCGCCAUUUCAU